rnacentral:rRNA from 1 species
AAGCUCGUAGUUGAAUUUCGAGACCGGUUUACUGGUCGUGCUUUUGUACGUACUGGUAUAAUCGGUUUCUCUUUUCUGACGAACUAUAAUGCCAUUAAUUUGGUGUUAGGGAAUCAGGACUGUUACUUUGAAAAAAUUAGAGUGUUUAAAGCAGGCUCACGCUUGAAUACAUUAGCAUGGAAUAACGAAAUAGGACGUUUGAUUUUAUUUUGUUGGUUUCUAGGAUCGACGUAAUGAUUAAUAGGGAUAGUUGGG